GAUCAUUGACAUAAUUGAUAAGGCUAAAACAAAGAGAUAACUAACGUAGAGAGGCUCUAAGCCCUCUACAAGUGACUAACAAUAUAGCUUGCAAGUAUAGACCUAACGUGCUAUACGCUGAACCAGCAAAAGCGGUGAAGCCCUCGCAGGGUGAUGAACGCAGAGGCUGGCAACCUCGCCCUUCGUAAGGGGCUUGCAAGCAC
rnacentral:sRNA from 1 species